GACAGAGGGUGCAAACGUUGUUCGGAAUUACUGGGCGUAAAGCGCGUGUAGGCGGUCUCGCAAGUCGGAUGUGAAAGCCCAGGGCUCAACCCUGGAAGUGCACUCGAUACUGCGAGGCUAGAGUCCCGGAGAGGAUGGUGGAACUCUCGGUGUAGAGGUGAAAUUCGUAGAUAUCGAGAAGAACACCGGUGGCGAAGGCGGCCAUCUGGACGGUGACUGACGCUGAGACGCGAAAGCGUGGGAGC
rnacentral:rRNA from 1 species